UGUUAGAAGGCAGACCCGGAGAACUGAAACAUCUUAGUACCCGGAGGAAGAGAAAGAAAAAUCGAUUCCCUGAGUAGCGGCGAGCGAAACGGGAAGAGCCCAAACCAAUAAGCUUGCUUAUUGGGGUUGUAGGACACUCUAUACGGAGUUACAAAGGAAUAUAUUAGACGAAUCAUCUGGAAAGAUGAAUCAAAGAAGGUAAUAAUCCUGUAGUUGAAAAUAUAUUCUCUCUUGAGUGGAUCCUGAGUACGACGGAGCACGUGAAAUUCCGUCGGAAUCUGGGAGGACCAUCUCCUAAGGCUAAAUACUCUCUAGUGACCGAUAGUGAACCAGUACCGUGAGGGAAAGGUGAAAAGUACCCCGGAAGGGGAGUGAAAGAGAACUUGAAACCGUGUGCUUACAAGUAGUCAGAGCCCGUUAAUGGGUGAUGGCGUGCCUUUUGUAGAAUGAACCGGCGAGUUACGAUUUGAUGCAAGGUUAAGCAGGAAAUGUGGAGCCGUAGCGAAAGCGAGUCUGAAUAGGGCGUUGAGUAUUUGGUCGUAGACCCGAAACCAGGUGAUCUACCCUUGGUCAGGUUGAAGUUCAGGUAACACUGAAUGGAGGACCGAACCGACUUACGUUGAAAAGUGAGCGGAUGAACUGAGGGUAGCGGAGAAAUUCCAAUCGAACUUGGAGAUAGCUGGUUCUCUCCGAAAUAGCUUUAGGGCUAGCCUCAAGUGAUGAUUAUUGGAGGUAGAGCACUGUUUGGACGAGGGGCCCCUCUCGGGUUACCGAAUUCAGACAAACUCCGAAUGCCAAUUAAUUUAACUUGGGAGUCAGAACAUGGGUGAUAAGGUCCGUGUUCGAAAGGGAAACAGCCCAGACCACCAGCUAAGGUCCCAAAAUAUAUGUUAAGUGGAAAAGGAUGUGGCGUUGCCCAGACAACUAGGAUGUUGGCUUAGAAGCAGCCAUCAUUUAAAGAGUGCGUAAUAGCUCACUAGUCGAGUGACACUGCGCCGAAAAUGUACCGGGGCUAAACAUAUUACCGAAGCUGUGGAUUGUCCUUUGGACAAUGGUAGGAGAGCGUUCUAAGGGCGUUGAAGCAUGAUCGCAAGGACAUGUGGAGCGCUUAGAAGUGAGAAUGCCGGUGUGAGUAGCGAAAGACGGGUGAGAAUCCCGUCCACCGAUUGACUAAGGUUUCCAGAGGAAGGCUCGUCCGCUCUGGGUUAGUCGGGUCCUAAGCUGAGGCCGACAGGCGUAGGCGAUGGAUAACAGGUUGAUAUUCCUGUACCACCUAGUAUCGUUUUAAUCGAUGGGGGGACGCAGUAGGAUAGGCGAAGCGUACGAUUGGAUUGUACGUCUAAGCAGUGAGACUGAGUGUUAGGUAAAUCCGGCACUCAUAAGGUCAAGCUGUGAUGGGGAGAGGAAAUUGUUUCCUUGAGUCGUUGAUUUCACACUGCCAAGAAAAGCCUCUAGAUAGAUAACAGGUGCCCGUACCGCAAACCGACACAGGUAGUCAAGAUGAGAAUUCUAAGGUGAGCGAGCGAACUCUCGUUAAGGAACUCGGCAAAAUGACCCCGUAACUUCGGGAGAAGGGGUGCUCUUUAGGGUGCAAGCCCAGAAGAGCCGCAGUGAAUAGGCCCAAGCGACUGUUUAUCAAAAACACAGGUCUCUGCUAAACCGUAAGGUGAUGUAUAGGGGCUGACGCCUGCCCGGUGCUGGAAGGUUAAGAGGAGUGGUUAGCUUCUGCGAAGCUACGAAUCGAAGCCCCAGUAAACGGCGGCCGUAACUAUAACGGUCCUAAGGUAGCGAAAUUCCUUGUCGGGUAAGUUCCGACCCGCACGAAAGGCGUAACGAUUUGGGCACUGUCUCAACGAGAGACUCGGUGAAAUCAUAGUACCUGUGAAGAUGCAGGUUACCCGCGACAGGACGGAAAGACCCCGUGGAGCUUUACUGUAGCCUGAUAUUGAAAUUCGGCACAGCUUGUACAGGAUAGGUAGGAGCCAUUGAAACGUGAGCGCUAGCUUACGUGGAGGCGCUGGUGGGAUACUACCCUAGCUGUGUUGGCUUUCUAACCCGCACCACUUAUCGUGGUGGGAGACAGUGUCAGGCGGGCAGUUUGACUGGGGCGGUCGCCUCCUAAAAGGUAACGGAGGCGCUCAAAGGUUCCCUCAGAAUGGUUGGAAAUCAUUCAUAGAGUGUAAAGGCAUAAGGGAGCUUGACUGCGAGACCUACAAGUCGAGCAGGGUCGAAAGACGGACUUAGUGAUCCGGUGGUUCCGCAUGGAAGGGCCAUCGCUCAACGGAUAAAAGCUACCCCGGGGAUAACAGGCUUAUCUCCCC
rnacentral:rRNA from 1 species